UACGAAGGGGGCUAGCGUUGCUCGGAAUUACUGGGCGUAAAGCGCACGUAGGCGGGUCGUUAAGUCGGGGGUGAAAUCCUGGAGCUCAACUCCAGAACUGCCUCCGAAACUGGCGAUCUUGAGUUCGGGAGAGGUGAGUGGAACUGCGAGUGUAGAGGUGAAAUUCGUAGAUAUUCGCAAGAACACCAGUGGCGAAGGCGGCUCACUGGCCCGAUACUGACGCUGAGGUGCGAAAGCGUGGGGAGCAAACAGG
rnacentral:rRNA from 1 species